rnacentral:lncRNA from 1 species
GGUUUCCAAGCCCAAAUGCUUCUGAGAAGUUCCUCCUUGCCACAUGCCCUGGGUCUGGCUGAUCCUCCUGCAUGGAGCAGAGAGGCAUUCUGCUGUGUGCUUUGGCAAGCAUCCCCCUGAUAAAACCCAGCACUUGAUUGCAAGUUUGGAUCACUGAGGGGAGGCUGUGCUGAAUUCAUUUCAGUCUGUGGAGGAAAAUUCAGGAAGCUGAGGGCACCUUUGUAAGCAGAACCAAUUCCUUCAUCCCAGCUGCAGGAAGAGGCUUGUGCUGAACUUGGUGACAAUGAUUUAAUAUUUUGGGGCCUGGAAGGCUCAGCUGGAAUCACACAGUGCUUGUUGCACAAGAACAGCCCUUCACCUGAAAGUUUGCAAUCGUGGGCCCCAGCUCUGCAGGAAAUCAGUGCUUUUCUUAUUUUCAUGAACCUGCCCACAAUUAAACAUGCAUAAAUAUCUGCAGGAUUGAGAUGCAAAUGUACAGAACAGGCAGGAGAAUGAAGGAGGGGGAGAGUUACCCUGAUUUCAGAGCUGCCCUGCUCUGCUGGCUCUGAGCUUAUCUGUGCUCUGGGCCAGCAUAAAUCACUCCUGAUCUGGCUCAGAUGCGUCCUGCUGGGCAAGCAGCAGAGCACAGACCCACGAUUGAUGAUCAGCAAGGCAGAGACCUGGGCCCCUCUGCCAGGAGAAGAUGAAGCAUCCUCUGGGGAGCUCUGAGAGUCUGACAACCCUGGGAGCCUCUGCAGCAAGCUUGGAGCAGACAGCUGGGUCUGGAUAGCUGGAGCUUGGGCAGAUGAAUUUCCCUCCUGAGAAGAGUGAGAAGUUCCACCUGAUAAUUCACCCCUGGCACAGCAGGGUGACACCAAACCCUUUCAUUCUGAGAUUCAUAGAAUCAUGGAAUAUCCUGAGCUGGAAGGGACCCACAGGGAUCACCCAGUCCAACCCCAAAAUCCCACCCUGGGCAUCCCUGGAGUGGUUCCAAACCCUCCUGGAGCUCUGCCAGCCCCAGGGCUGUGCCUAUUCCCUCUUUAGGAUCCUUAAACCAUUUUUGCAGCUGGCAGGAGAAAUAAACCCUUUAAGAAAGGUAAAAUUUGGUGCCUUCAUGCAGUAUUUUUCCCACAAUCUCCCUGCAUGGCUCUGUGCAGAGCCCGUGGGUGUGCACAAGGAAAGAGCUGGGACACAAUGAUGGACCAGGACUGCCUUGGCACCAUGAGAUGUUUGAGGUGUGACAGGCACCCCCAGGGUGGGCAGCCACUCACCAGGGGCAAGCUCAGCUCUGGGUCCUAUUUUGGGGUGGUUUUGGGGUGAUUUUUGCCCCUGUGCCUCGUGCUGGUGAAGCUCUGAUCAGUGGCUGCUGUAGGAAUUGUGCCUUCUGAAGGUCACUGCUGGAUCUGCUGGAGAUGUCCCUUGCAAAAUGUAACACCAACAACUGCAGAGAGGGGGAAACGAGGGAAAAAGACCUGUGGAGCUUGCACUGGCACAGGGAGCAGCAGGGCCCAGUGUUAUUAUUAGCCAGCAGAGUGCUUGGCCGUUAUCUGCCCUGACAGCUCCAGAGCUCCAGGCUGCCCCUCCAAACGCUGCUGCUGAUGUGCUGCUGAUGUUAAACAGCCACACUGCAAUUCUUUGGCAGCAGUACAACUGCCCCCUGUGCCCUCUGGCCGUGUGGCUUCCAUGGAAAUGCUCCACCAAGAGCAGGGAGCUCCAGGAAGGUGUGGGAGAUGUGACUCCAGUUCUCUUUCACUGGAGCUCCCAUCACGGAUCCAGGAAGGUGUGGGAGAUGUGACUCCAGUU